GAGACUGAUUCUGAGCAGCAGUUCUGCCUGGCACUGAUUCACUGGCCCUGCCAUGCCCGCGCCACUGUUCCCACUGCUGCUUCGGUUGCUGCUGUCCCGUCUGCUGCUGCCUGUCGCCCGCCUGGCCCGCCAGUACCUCCUGCCCCUGCUGCGCCGAUUGGCCCGCCGCCUGGGCUCCCAGGACAUGCGAGAGGCUUUGCUGGGCUGUUUGCUGUUCAUUCUCAGCCAGCGACACUCGCCAGACGCUGGGGAGGCCUCAAGAGUGGACCGCCUGGAGAGGAGGGAGAGGUUAGGCCCCCAGAAGUGAGGCCACGAGUCCUGGCAGCAGCUGAAUCCACAAAAUGCUUUCUUCUGGAGUAGGAUAAUCCUGGCACCAGCACUGACCGAAGCCUGCCCGGUGGACAGAAGAUAUAGUGAGGGUUGUGCAUGAGAUGGAUCUGCCACAGACAUGCCUCUCCACUCCCAACAGAAAUGUCUUUCUGGAAGAAUGCCUUGCAUCUAGCAUGAAAUCGAUCAUUGCCCCUCUGUUCUCCAGGAGUUCCUCCCAAAGACCACUCCUAAUCACCUCUGGCCUCAGAUGGGAGGGGAACUAACACCCACCCACCCCUGCCGUCCCUGCAAAUUAGAACAUCAAGGUUCCCAAUGCUUAACUGAGGGACAAGUGACAAUUUAGCAGAGAGGAAAGAUUUGAAUCCAGACUGUCUUCCAGACUCAGGACCUACCUUAAAAUAAUAUCUGAGUUCCCUAUGGAGGCAGACCUGCCUGCACAGCCCAGCACUCAGCAAGUGCUCAAUAAAUAUUUGAGUUGAAUUAUUUC